GACGAACGCUGGCGGCGUGCUUAACACAUGCAAGUCGAACGAUGAAGCUGGAGCUUGCUCCGGUGGAUUAGUGGCGAACGGGUGAGUAACACGUGAGCAAACUGCCCUUCACUCUGGGAUAACUGCGGGAAACUGUAGCUAAUACCGGAUACGAGACCUUGGGGCAUCCCAGGGUCUGGAAAGAAUUUCGGUGAAGGAUGAGCUCGCGGCGUAUCAGCUAGUUGGUGAGGUAAGGGCUCACCAAGGCGACGACGGGUAGCCGGCCUGAGAGGGUGACCGGCCACACUGGGACUGAGACACGGCCCAGACUCCUACGGGAAGCAGCAGUGGGGAAUAUUGCACAAUGGGCGAAAGCCUGAUGCAGCAACGCCGCGUGAGGGAUGAAGGCCUUCGGGUUGUAAACCUCUUUUAGUAGGGAAGAAGCGCAAGUGACGGUACCUACAGAAAAAGCACCGGCUAACUACGUGCCAGCCGCCGCCGUAAAAC
rnacentral:rRNA from 1 species